rnacentral:rRNA from 1 species
UGUCCUACGGGUGGCUGCAGCUAAGAAUAUUCCGCAAUGGACGAAAGUCUGACGGAGCGACGCCGCGUGGAUGACUAAGGCCGUGAGGUUGUAAAAUCCUUUUGUCGGGGAAGAAUAAGCAUGGGAGGGAAUGCCCGUGCGAUGACAUGAACCGGCGAAUAAGCCCCGGCUAACUACGUGCCAGCAGCCGCGGUAACACGUAGGGGGCGAGCGUUGUUCGGAAUUACUGGGCGUAAAGGGCAUGUAGGCGGGUUGGUAAGCCUGACGUGAAAGGCUAUGGCUCAACCAUGGCAUGGCGUUGGGAACUGCUAGACUUGAAUCACGGAGAGGGAGCUGGAAUUCCAGGUGUAGGGGUGAAAUCUGUAGAUAUCUGGAAGAACACCAGUGGCGAAGGCGAGCUCCUGGCCGAUGAUUGACGCUGAGGUGCGAAAGUGUGGGGAUCAAACAGGAUUAGAUACCCGAGUAGUCA